ACACAACGUUCACUGUAAUUUUAGAAACGUUCUGAGACAGGAAUAGGUUGUCAGGCAGUAGGUAACUUACAUUUCUGAGUCUUUGAGUGGAUACUGGUAAAAAUGUUACGUUCAGGGAAGUUCAAUGUCUUUGGAACCACACCAGAAUUUUCUAACGGGACCAUGGCCUAGAUUCCUGAGCAGAGAACCAGGGUCCUGAGAGCAUUCAGAGGCCAGAGGCCAAGUCAACUGGUCUUUGCUAUGUUCAGUCCAUGUUUUGGGACACAUCAGCUCCUUCCUGAAGUCACAAAGCAAAUCAACAGCCAAACAUGUUGUAAGCUCCUUGAGAGAAGUGACCUUGCCUUGGCCAUCACUUGAUCUCUAGAACCUAGUGAAGAACUCAACAAAUACUUGCUUAAUGGAUGAACAAAUGAAUCAUCUACCCAGCCCCUGCCUGUUUUAUGGAACCAGAAGCUAAAGCCCAGAGAGGACAUCCGACCCACCCAAGGUCACACAGCUAAUUGAUAGAUGAAUCAGACCUAGGAAUUAAACCUG